CCCUUAGAUGUCCUGGGCCGCACGCGCGUUACACUGAUGCAUUCAACGAGCUUAUAACCUUGGCCGAGAGGCCUGGGCAAUCUUGUUAACGUGCAUCGUGAUAGGGAUAGAUUAUUGAAAUUAUUAAUCUUGAACGAGGAAUUCCUAGUAAACGCAGAUCAUCAAUCUGCAUUGAUUACGUCCCUGCCCUUUGUACACACCGCCCGUCGCACCUACCAAUUGGAUGGUCCGGUGAAGCCUCGGGAUUGUGGUUCUUGCCGCUUUAUUGUGGCGUGACCGCGAGAACUUGUCUAAACCUUAUCAUCUAGAGGAAGGUGAAGUCGUAACA
rnacentral:rRNA from 1 species